rnacentral:rRNA from 1 species
AUUGAACGCUGGCGGCAGGCCUAACACAUGCAAGUCGAACGAGUGGCGGACGGGUGAGUAAUGUCUGGGAAACUGCCCGAUGGAGGGGGAUAACUACUGGAAACGGUAGCUAAUACCGCAUACCAUCGGAUGUGCCCAGAUGGGAUUAGCUAGUAGGUGGGGUAACGGCUCACCUAGGCGACGAUCCCUAGCUGGUCUGAGGGGAUGACCAGCCAAACUGGAACGGAUACACGGACCAGACUCCUACGGGAGGCAGCAAUGGGAAGUAUUGCAGAAUGGGUGCAAGCCUGAUGCAGCCAAGCCGCGUGUAUGAAGGAGGCCUACGGGUUGUAAAGUACUUUCAGCGAGGAGGCGUUACUCGCAGAAGAAGCAUCGGCUAACUCCGUGCCAGCAGCCGCGGUAAUU